AGUGAACGCUGGCGGUAGGCCUAACACAUGCAAGUCGAACGGCAGCACAGUAAGAGCUUGCUCUUACGGGUGGCGAGUGGCGGACGGGUGAGGAAUACAUCGGAAUCUACUUUUUCGUGGGGGAUAACGUAGGGAAACUUACGCUAAUACCGCAUACGACCUACGGGUGAAAGCAGGGGAUCUUCGGACCUUGCGCGAUUGAAUGAGCCGAUGUCGGAUUAGCUAGUUGGCGGGGUAAAGGCCCACCAAGGCGACGAUCCGUAGCUGGUCGGAGAGGAUGAGCGGCGGCACGAGAGCUGAGACGCGGUCCAGACUCCUACGGGAGGCAGCAGUGGGGAAGAUUGGACAAUGGGCGCAAGCCGGAUCCAGCCAUGCCGCGUGGGUGAAGAAGGCCUUCGGGUUGUAAAGCCCUUUUGUUGGGAAAGAAGAGCAGCAGGUUAAUACCCCGCUGUUCUGACGGUACCCAAAGAAUAAGCACCGGCUAACUUCGUG
rnacentral:rRNA from 1 species